AAUGAACGCUGGCGGCAUGCCUUACACAUGCAAGUCGAACGGCAGCAUGACCUAGCUUGCUAGGUUGAUGGCGAGUGGCGAACGGGUGAGUAAUGCAUCGGAACGUGCCUUUUAGUGGGGGAUAACGUAGCGAAAGUUACGCUAAUACCGCAUAUUCUCUGAGGAGGAAAGCAGGGGACCUUCGGGCCUUGCGCUAGAAGAGCGGCCGAUGUCGGAUUAGCUAGUUGGUGAGGUAAAGGCUCACCAAGGCAACGAUCCGUAGCGGGUCUGAGAGGAUGAUCCGCCACACUGGGACUGAGACACGGCCCAGACUCCUACGGGAGGCAGCAGUGGGGAAUUUUGGACAAUGGGCGCAAGCCUGAUCCAGCCAUGCCGCGUGAGUGAAGAAGGCCUUCGGGUUGUAAAGCUCUCUCGGCUGGGAAGAAAUCGCACCCUCUAAUACAGGGUGUGGAUGACGGUACCAGCAUAAGAAGCACCGGCUAACUACGUG
rnacentral:rRNA from 1 species